AAAAAAAAAAAAAAAAAAAAUACACUGUUAAAAAGCAAUGUGCUUACUUUGAUAUAUGGCCUUCCAGAGAAGUCCUCUGGUUCUCUCUUAAGCAGAUUGCCACUACUUCCUUGAAAUUCUUGAGUCCUCUUGCCUCUCACCCAAACCUGGGUCUGUCUGACUCUCAAACACUUGCUGUUUCCUAGGCUAUCCUGCCUGCUCCCCUUGUAGAACUGCAUGAACCUGACCAAACUGAACUGGAUUUGCAAGGUUAUCAUAAAUGAAGAGACUUGGGUCCCAAGACUGACUGUUACACUAGGCCGCUUUUAAAUUAUUUUCAGCAUUUACAUAUUAUUAACCCAUACUGGGCCUCAUCUGAUCCUCACAAAACUCUUGGAAUAGGAGAAGCCUCAGACUCUGCCCUGGAGGGAUACAUGAAAUCCUGCUGGAGGAACAGUGGAGAAUAAACCCCGAGGCCCAGCUUAUAUACUGGAGUCUACAUCACAGUUUGAAAAGGGCUUCUCUGCUAAAAGGAAUAUUCAAAGCCAAUGACCUAAAAGAGAAGGAGCAGCUACCAUGUCAUCCCUCAUCUCUGCAAUCAACUGUUUGGGAUGACCAAGACUGGCAAGGACCUCUCCACACCCCAUGAGAAGAUCAUCUCCCAUCAGAUGCUCUCCUCAAAGGAGAUCUAAUGUAUGAUAUGGAUUCUCAACUUCUUAGCUUAGGAGUCCUCAGGGCAGGAUAAGACAUAGGGUUACUCCUGCUUGCCACUUCAGAAUUUCAAGGGGCGAAUAUAACCUGCCUUAAGACACAGAUUUAAAGUCUGACGUAUUUAGUAGCAUAAAUGAAUUAGGAGUACAAGUCAAGAGCCAACUGUAGGCACUGUCACAUUGUAUUUGCUACUGCAGUGAACCAGGGGCCAUUUCCCACCUCCCCUCGCCAGGUGAGGGAACUCCGUGGCCCGAUGCCGUCCAUCCUGA